GCCCCCGUCGAUUAAGUGGCAAAUCACUCACAGCACUUAAUGUGGUCGCACGCCUCCCGUGGGGCGGAGGUUCGAAUCCUCCCGAGGGCA